rnacentral:rRNA from 1 species
UGUCACUCCACCCCACCCUGAGCGCACCCGACCUUGUCCGAUCUUAAAAGCUAAGCAGGGUUGGGCCUGGUUAGUACUUGGAUGAGAGAAUUUUAUAUAUUGUGAUUA